rnacentral:rRNA from 1 species
UUGGAGGGCAAGUCUGGUGCCAGCAGCCGCGGUAAUUCCAGCUCCAAUAGCGUAUAUUAAAGUUGUUGCAGUUAAAAAGCUCGUAGUUGAAUUUCGGGGUUAGUAGGCUGGUCAUGCCACCGGUAUGUACUGGUCUUUCUGAUUCCUCCUUCCUGAUGAACUGUAAUGCCAUUAAUUUGGUGUUGCAGGGAAUCUGGACUGUUACUUUGAAAAAUUAGAGUGUUUAAAGCAGGCUAACGCUUGAAUACAUUAGCAUGGAAUAAUGAAAAUAGGGACGUC